CCUACGGGAGGCAGCAGUGGGGGAUAUUGCACAAUGGGGGGAACCCUGAUGCAGCGACGCCGCGUGGGUGAAGGAGUGCUUCGGCAUGUAAAGCCCUAUCGGCAGGGAAGAAGCAAGAAGGUACCUGACUAAGAAGCCCCGGCUAACUACGGGCCAGCAGCCGCGGUAAUACGUAGGGGGCGAGCGUUAUCCGGAUUCACUGGGUGUAAAGGGAGCGUAGACGGCCAUGCAAGCCAGGGGGGAAAGCCCGGGGCCCAACCCCGGGACUGCCCUUGGAACUGUGCGGCUAGAGUGCGGGAGGGGCAGGCGGAAUUCCUGGUGUAGCGGUGAAAUGCGUAGAUAUCAGGAGGAACACCGGCGGCGAAGGCGGCCUGCUGGACCGCGACUGACGUUGAGGCUCGAAAGCGUGGGGAGCGAACAGGAUUAGAUACCCCAGUAGUC
rnacentral:rRNA from 1 species